rnacentral:rRNA from 1 species
GCCCAACCGUAAACUUUCACUUACACCUAAAUCGCCAGGGAACUACGAGCUAAGCUUAAAACCCAAAGGACUUGACGGUACCCCAUAUCCCCCUAGAGGAGCCUGUUCUAUAAUCGAUAAUCCACGUUUAACCUCACCAUUUUUAGUUAACCAGCCUGUAUACUUCCGUCGUCAGCUUACCACAUGAGCGCCAAUUAGUGAGCCUAAUGCUACUUCAUCAACACGUCAGGUCAAAGUGCAGCAAAUGAAAUGGGAAGAAAUGGGCUACACUUUCUAUAUUAGAAAAAACGAAAAACUACCUAUGAAACCUAGUUAGAAGGCGGAUUUAGCAGUAAAAAAGAAUCAACAUGUCCUUUUUAACCCGGCACUGGGGUGUGU